rnacentral:tRNA from 1 species
GGCACUUUGGCGGAGUGGUUAACGCGCUGCCCUGCUAUCUUCUCUGCGAUGAUAUCGGUUUAGGCAGUUCCUUCGGGAGCGUGUGUUCGAAUCACACAGGUGUCG